ACGCCCUUCUGGAUGCAAAUGGAUUCGACUUAGACUUAGUUUAAUAUUGAGAUUUAUCUAACACUGUUAGAUAAAAUAAAAUAGAAUUAGAAAAAAAAUAUAUAGGAAUAUAAUUCUGCGUUCUCCGAUAAGAUCGUAGAAAAUAUAUCAUAACCGGCUCAUCAUGCGAAACACAAUAUUACGUACGAAAAACAAAUAGAAUAUUUUUUUAUCAUACUUUCUCCCCGCACGUAACGUAAAUAAAUAGGAUAUUUUUUUAUCAUACUUUCUCUCCGCACGUAACGCAAUCUUCUAGUAAUUCUAAACGAAGCCUCGGUAAAAAUUUCAUCUCCAUCCGUUCGAUUAAAGUGGUAAAUAAAAUAUAUAUAUAUAUAUAUAUAAUUUGUUUUGAAUGUGUCUUAAUUAGUAAAGUUAAUAAAGCAAGAGGCAAGAGGUUUUUUUUUCUUUCUUUAUUCUGUCUCGAUCCCUCAAAAAUAUAUUUUUGUUUUUCAUUCGGAUCCGAUCCGACAAAAAAUAGAGCGAGAGAUGGGAAAUUCCUCCCCAGAUCACAUCUAUCCCGUUUACAUACCUAAAUAUCAAUUUUCGAAUGUAUUUUAUUUACAAUUUUAUUUUUAAAUAAAAUAUUU
rnacentral:lncRNA from 1 species